rnacentral:rRNA from 1 species
UACGUAGGGUGCAAGCGUUGUCCGGAAUUAUUGGGCGUAAAGGGCUCGUAGGUGGUUCUGUAUGUCUACCGUGAAAGCGUACGGCUCAACCGUAUUUUGUCGGUGGAAACUGCAGGACUUGAGGCUGGGAGGGGCUGGUGGAAUUCCCUGUGUAGCGGUGAAAUGCGUAGAGAUGGGGGAGAACACUCGUGGCGAAGGCGGCCAGCUAGACCAGUUCUGACACUGAGGCGCGACAGCGUGGGGAGCAAACAGG